GCCUGGGUGACUCAGUGGUUGAGUGCCUGCCUGUGAUCCUGGAGUCCUGGGAUUGAGUCCCACAUCGGGCU
rnacentral:tRNA from 1 species